AGCGCUUGGCGCAUCCUCUUUGAAAGAAAUGGGACUUAGAACCUCUCCAAUGGGCCUUGGUAAGGGACUUGGGGAGGGGGAGCUUUGAUGGGAUCGCUUAAGGGAUUUGGGGUAAAGGGUUGCCUCGGGAGGAACAGACGACGAAACCAUCUGCCGCUGGAGCUUGACUUCUGGGAGAAGUGCGAAGGGCUUGAGCAGAUUGAUUAUAAGCUGUGUCGCCAAAGUGUUUGUCUGGCCCAAUGGAAAGCGUCAGGAACUGGCAAAAUGUUUUAGAGAAAGCAACCAGUGAGUUGAAUACUGCUGAGGACUGGGGCCUCAUCUUGGAUAUUUGUGAUAAGGUUGGCCAAUCUCGCACAGGGCCUAAAGAUUGUCUUCGUUCUAUUAUGAGAAGAGUGAACCAUAAAGACCCCCAUGUUGCUAUGCAGGCUUUAACUCUUCUAGGAGCAUGUGUAUCAAACUGUGGCAAAAUUUUUCACUUAGAAGUGUGUUCAAGGGAUUUCGCUAGCGAAGUAAGCAAUGUGUUAAAUAAGGGCCAUCCUAAAGUAUGUGAAAAAUUAAAGGCUCUUAUGGUUGAAUGGACAGAUGAAUUUAAGAAUGACCCACAGCUAAGUCUGAUAUCGGCAAUGAUUAAGAACCUCAAGGAACAGGGUGUAACAUUCCCAGCCAUCGGCUCUCAGGCUGCAGAACAAGCGAAAGCAAGCCCGGCUCUGGUAGCCAAGGACCCUGGCACUGUGGCUACCAAAAA
rnacentral:lncRNA from 1 species